GGCUUCUGUAUGAUUAGUUUAGGCCCAGAAGUGUUUAGGGUUAUUCUUCUUCUGCGUCAUUCUUCUUCUUCCCUCCUCCACGCUGCAGAGAAACCAUAGAAACCGCUCGAACUCCAUCUAUAAAUAUCGGCGCUCACUUCCCUUCACAUCGCAUCUGAAACGAUUUACUCAAACAUACGAUCUCCUAGAAGCAACAUAUUCAGAUGGCGAAUUCAUACACUCUGCUUGCGAAUUUGAGAGCCGGCCGAUGCUCUAAUACUGCUGAGGUCCGCUUGCUGAGGUUCUGGGAGGCCAGAAAUAUCAACAAAGGAGGGGAGCUGAUGAGUAUUGAGAUGCUGCUCAUCGAUGAGGCUGAGGGGAGCUGAUGAGUAUUAAAGCUUUAUUGGGCUUAUCUUUACCCCUCGAAUGUUCUUUAUACUUGAUGUUUGAGGUGUUUUAGUACAGUUGUGGGUCUGACCAAACUGCACCAUCAGGAUAAUUACUUUAAUUUCCAAAGGAAGUUGCGUGAUCAAAAGUAUUCUUUGAAGAGGUUAUAAUAUAAGAUGGAGUACAAGGAAGAUCUACACAGGAGGCUACUACGCUAGACCAAGGUUUCUCAUUAUUGGAUACACCGGAUUGUUUCUCUUUAUCAAGAGAGGUUACUGUGGAAGAGAAUUUUGCAGAGAUUGAGCUUUAUUUGCUUCUCUUCAGGGGUGCGGUACCGAGAGGUAAAGUCUUAACUCCAUGUUCUUUGUUCAAAAAUGACUUUCCAUGAUUGCUUGAGAUAACAAUAUCGUUUAGGUCUCCAUCCACCUUUUCUUUUUAAAUUGCAUCAGUAUUUGCAUUCACAAAAAACCAUACUCUUCUUUCGAAGAUCUUCAAACAUCCAAGUUCAUGAGUGCUCUCUUUUAUAGGUGAGACCAGCUUCCUCUUCUCACCAAGCUAUAAAGUAACAAGAUAUAUAAUUUGAGAGAAUCUUAAGCAUAUAUGUCUAAUACGAUUCAAUACUUCUAAUCCUAAAACUACUCAAGACCAGCCUCCAAAGCAGAUUAUAAUAGAAUUAAGCAUAGACUCAGAUUCUUGCAAAAUCACCAUGUUUUCAUCCUUACUUUACCCAAUAUUUUUAUCUGCUUCCAUUUGAUAUAUUUACCUCCCCACCUUCGAUUUUUCUAUGUAAACUUCCUUGGCAAGGCCUUCGUGCAGGUACCAGAAAUCUGAAUUAUGGCAUGAUCAGUGAA